GGGGAUUUAGCUCAGUGGCACAGCACCUGCCUGGCAAGCAUGAGGUCCUGAGUUCGAUUCCCAGUAUCAAUA
rnacentral:tRNA from 1 species